UUCAUGGUCUCAAAUGCAUGCUGGUCAUUU
rnacentral:piRNA from 1 species